rnacentral:rRNA from 1 species
UACGAAGGGGCUAGCGUUGCUCGGAUUGACUGGGCGUAAAGGGCGCGUAGGCGGUUCGUACAGUCAGACGUGAAAUUCCUGGGCUCAACCUGGGGGCUGCGUUUGAUACGUGCGGACUUGAGUGCGGAAGAGGGUCGUGGAAUUCCCAGUGUAGAGGUGAAAUUCGUAGAUAUUGGGAAGAACACCGGUGGCGAAGGCGGCGACCUGGUCCGAUACUGACGCUGAGGCGCGAAAGCGUGGGGAGCAAACAGG